rnacentral:rRNA from 1 species
GAUUAAGUUAUUAAGGGCGCACGGUGGAUGCCUUGGCACUAGAAGCCGAUGAAGGACGUUACUAACGACGAUAUGCUUUGGGUAGCUGUAAGUAAGCGUUGAUCCAGAGAUUUCCGAAUGGGGGAACCCAGCAUGAGUUAUGUCAUGUUAUCGACAUGUGAAUUCAUAGCAUGUCAGAAGGCAGACCCGGAGAACUGAAACAUCUUAGUACCCGGAGGAAGAGAAAGAAAAAUCGAUUCCCUGAGUAGCGGCGAGCGAAACGGGAAGAGCCCAAACCAACAAGCUUGCUUGUUGGGGUUGUAGGACACUCUAUACGGAGUUACAAAAGAACAUGUUAGACGAAUCAUCUGGAAAGAUGAAUCAAAGAAGGUAAUAAUCCUGUAGUCGAAAACAUAUUCUCUCUUGAGUGGAUCCUGAGUACGACGGAGCACGUGAAAUUCCGUCGGAAUCUGGGAGGACCAUCUCCUAAGGCUAAAUACUCUCUAGUGACCGAUAGUGAACCAGUACCGUGAGGGAAAGGUGAAAAGUACCCCGGAAGGGGAGUGAAAGAGAACUUGAAACCGUGUGCUUACAAGUAGUCAGAGCCCGUUAAUGGGUGAUGGCGUGCCUUUUGUAGAAUGAACCGGCGAGUUACGAUCUGAUGCAAGGUUAAGCAGCAAAUGUGGAGCCGCAGCGAAAGCGAGUCUGAAUAGGGCGUUGAGUAUUUGGUCGUAGACCCGAAACCAGGUGAUCUACCCUUGGUCAGGUUGAAGUUCAGGUAACACUGAAUGGAGGACCGAACCGACUUACGUUGAAAAGUGAGCGGAUGAACUGAGGGUAGCGGAGAAAUUCCAAUCGAACUUGGAGAUAGCUGGUUCUCUCCGAAAUAGCUUUAGGGCUAGCCUCAAGUGAUGAUUAUUGGAGGUAGAGCACUGUUUGGACGAGGGGCC